rnacentral:rRNA from 1 species
GGGCCCGCACAAGCGGUGGAGCAUGUGAUUUAAUUCGAAGCAACGCGCAGAACCUUACCAGUCCUUGACAUGGGUAGUUUGGAUUUUGGAGACAAUCUCCUUCAGUUCGGCUGGCUACCACACAGGUGCUGCAUGGCUGUCGUCAGCUCGUGUCGUGAGAUGUUGGGUUAAGUCCCGCAACGAGCGCAACCCUCAUCUUUAGUUGCCAUCGGUUCGGCCGGGCACUCUAGAGAAACUGCCUGCGAUGAGCAGGAGGAAGGCGGGGAUGACGUCAAGUCCUCAUGGCCCUUAUGGACUGGGCUACACACGUGCUACAAUGGCGGUGACAAUGGGCAGCGAGGGGGCGACCUUGAGCAAAUCCCUAAAACCGUCCCAGUUCGGAUUGUACUCUGCAACUCGAGUGCAUG